rnacentral:lncRNA from 1 species
AUUUCAUUCACUCCGCAUACUCAAUCCUAUAGACACCCUUUUAAUUCUUCAUCACUGACGUAACUCGAUUUCACAAAACAGUCAAGAGUAAUCAAAUCACUUCAUUAAAAAUCCCGAUUCACUAUUACAACACUGACUUUAGCAACAAUUGCCUCAGUCUUCCCAAAACCCUAUGAAGAAAAAAAACCCAAUUCACUAUCUUUUUUCCCCGCCCGAAGCAUGAAGCUAGCUCUCUGAUCCUUCUCUAAAACUUCCCCAAAAACUUUUUCUCCCC